GACGAACGCUGGCGGCGUGCUUAACACAUGCACGUCGAACGAAGUGGCGAACGGGUGAGUAACGCGUAAUCAACCUGCCCUUCAGAGGGGGACAACAGUUGGCAACGACUGCUAAUACCGCAUACUGAAGGAGGGGAUUGCGUCUGAUUAGCUAGUUGGAGUGGUAACGGCCCACCAAGGCGAGGAUAGGUAGCCGGUCUGAGAGGAUGAACGGUCAAAUUGGGACUGGGACACGGCCCAGACUCCUCCGGGAGCCAGCAGUGGGGAAAUUGCCGCAAUGGACGAAAGUCUUACGGAGCAACGCCGCGGGAGUGAUGACGGCCUUCGGGUUGUAAAGCUCUGUUAAUCGGGACGCGGUACCGGAAUAGAAAGCCACGGCUAACUACGUGCCAGCAGCCGCGGUAAUAC
rnacentral:rRNA from 1 species